GCGAUUAUUAUUAUGAAAGGUCUCUGGUCCCGGAUGGCCUGAUGUGCUUUCUUUUUUGGAAGGGGGCCACCUGCAGAAAGGAGGAGGCUCUGGCCAUGCAGAAAGCUCAGCUGGGUCAGCAUCUGACCAUGAGGGGCGCCCUCGCCCCACCCAAGUGUGUCUUCCGUCAAUGGUGGUUGAAUGAGCCGGGAUGGGCUGAAUGAGUGAAUGAAUGAAUGAUGUCACAGAGGCCUCUAGGCACCUCCCCCUGCUCGAGUUUCCUUAUCUAAAAGGGAGGGAGACCAUGCUAAUAACCUCACAGGGCUCAUGAGCUAAUAAUGAGAGUUAGUGACUGUCGGUUAAUAAAGGAGUCAAUAAUGAGAAGACCUUAGAAUUGCGUCAGGCUCCUAACACGCACGAGAUCCUCAGAUCCCUUCAAUGGCCUCCACCGCCUACGAGACACACCCAACCUCCAUGACAUGAAUUCGGCAGCCAGAGGGGUCCUGUUGAAAUGCAGAAAAUAUGAUGUUUCCUCUCCUGCUCUGUUUGGGGAAUUUUUGCUCAUCCCUAAAAUCCCAAGUCUGUUGUCUCCUUCUCUCUGGAACAGUCUAGAAGAAGCCUCUUGGCCCACAGAGUUAACUUCUUCCCCUUUGAGCCAUCCCACAGCCAUGAGCACUCAUUUCUGCACUGUCAUGGUUUGCCUCCCUUCCCCCACUGAGUGAAUAAACAUCUUUUCUGGCUUAAA